AUUUAGUAACCAGUCUGCUACUCAGCAAUGACUGAAAUCAGUUUUGUGUUCAUGUCUUUUUGCUGGAAUAAUACAGCGACAAACAUGGAGUUUAAUAUUGGUCAUAGUCAUCCAGUUCAGUCAGAAGCAAUGCAGUAGCACCAGAGAAUCAGAUUCUGAGAUGUGUCAUCUUGGUGCUGAGGAAUGUGCAUUGGAGGCAGUGCUGGAGGUGACACUGUUGCUCAAGCAUGGCUGGUUAUGGUUAUGAAGCAGGCUGCGCCUGCUUCAUCCAUGGACAGAUGCUCACUCUGCCUGCCCCGACUCUUCUUGCUGCCACAGUUCUCCCUUUGGCUCUGCCAGCAGAAGAUGUGUCACUGUUCUCAAACCUGCACCUCUCCGAAAACAAGAGAUCUCUGGCCAUCUUCUGAGCCAUACUGAAAAGAAAUCUUUGUUUAUGGAGUUUCUGGAAGGCUCAGAUUUGUUUUCCUCCCUCUUGCAUCCUGCCAACACUGGAAGUGCCAAAACAUAAAAGAGAGGCAUUUCUCUUGGAGUUGCCAGCCACGGUUGGAAGGAGAAGUGCCAGAAAUCUCAGGAUAAAUCUGCUCCUGAUCUUUCCAGCACAGUCUUACAGAUUGGAGGGAUUUGGAGAGUUCAGCAAAGCAUCUGGGCUGCUGGAUGCCAACACGACCUGUGUUCCAGCUGGGGAUGUGUCAUUACUCAUUUUGAUAAGGACAGUGGCAUGCAAAGUCAAGACCAGAGGAAGGACUGCUGAAUGCUCCAGAGGUGGUAGCCAUCUGCUUGCAGAUUUUCUGUAUGUGAAAGCAUUGGCUCACUGCGUAUUUAGUGCAGAUGUCAAAGCCAAAGCUUCAAGAUUCACAUUUCAGGCCAUUUCAGUGGCACUGAGGACUUCGUUGAUGGGCUGCCAUUUUGCUGCAAUGUGUGGUCUUAACCAAGCCCCCUCUGAAACCUGACUAGCAUCUUUCAUCAUUCCCAAAACCUUCUUUGAAAGCAAAGCUUUACUCCCCCUUUGAACAUCUGAGGAAUGGAAGUGACCCAGACAGCAAGUUUGACUCUGCCUUCAUUGGUUUCCAGGGUGGAGUUAAGCCUCCCUUUUCCUGAAGAGAUGUUGGUGGCACCACCAGUGGUACAUCCAAGGAAAGCUAAACCCUUCCAGGAGCCUUGCGUAUGAGUUGAUCAUGUGCUAAGAGGCCAAAGUUCAUGUCAGAGAGCAGUAGCAUGGCAGAGGGAAGAGCCAAAUUUUCUUUGCAGUCUAAUAUAGAUGGCCGCAUACUGCUUUGGAUUUUAACCUAUGGCUCCUGGGUAGGACCAGUUUGCAGAAAACAGAUCAAAAAGCAGACUUUUUCUCUUGCUUUGAUGUAUGUUAGUCUGAUGGGUGGGUGCACUUGUUGUUUCAUGAGCACUUACUGUGCACAUGAACUUCAUCCUCCAGCAUCAAGGUCAUCUGCAAGUACAAGAAAGCCCACAUGGGCAAAAAUCUCCCUCAGGUUCUCUACCAAGAACUAAGAGGAUUGAACAAGAGAUGAGAUUUUAUUGGUACAUUGCUUGUGUAUCCAAGAAGGAAGAUGCUGGUGAAGGUCUGUAAACUGGUGGCAACGCAGGGCUGCAUGGACUUCCCUUGUCCACCAGUUCCUAAGACCUGUUAUUGAGGGCAGCCAGGAAUCGAAUAGAUUUCUAAUGGUGUAUGAAUCUCUACUUGAUCUCACUCUAUUUCCUGUUGCUAUUAUUUCAUUUAAUGGCUUUUCUUCAUUGCAGUCCUAGUAUGAUUCCUCUGCAGAGGAAUUUAUGUAAGUGUAAGUAGCUGAGAGAGGGACACAGCCCUUAAAUAUGGGUAUUUGGAGUAACUUUCUCUCUGUGUUCUUCCCUUACAGCAUUAAGUCAGGGCCGGACUUCUGCAUGACUUUCUUCCUCAUCUAUCCAACCCUACUGCUACCUGCUCCAUCAGAGAAAGAGACAGGUAUCUUUAAGCCAUCAUUCAGAAGACUCAUAAAGUCAUGAGUCAAGAUCUAGACCAUCUUUUCUUAACUGAUAGGCCAGUAACUUCAUCGAGUUGUACCCCUGCAUGCAUCCAACCCCGCGGAAAAAGUAGGGUAAAAAGUUCAGCAAACUGCAAACCAUGUUAUAGCAGACCUGCAAAGCACAGAUAUUAAUCCCAAUAAAAUAAGGAGUGGGUGGUGGUGGAAUUCAGUUGCCAGUGGCUGAUAGAACUUCAAAUAUUUAAACCGUGAGUAAGAUUUUUAAACCACACACAAUAAACUGUCCUUCCUUCAACAUCAGAAGAAAAUUGUUUUUCUUAAACUGGAUUGUCACCAAAACAAAACAGAACAACAACAAAAACCUUGACAGUGCAGAGCUUUCCUGUAAACCAUCAGUCUGGAUAUAUUUAAUGAUGUGAUUUAUAGAGAGUUUGCUUCUUAAGACUCAAAGCAACAUUCCUAUAAAAGCAUUAAAGAUGCGUGUUUUGGUAGUGGAUGGAUGACGUUGCCUUUCUUCCCUAGCUUGGAACCUGCUCAGUGGGUGACACCACUUGGAAAGAUUAAUUCUUCAUGUGUGGGCAAUCAGCAGCAGCCUUGAAGCAGCACUGAUUACAAUGCUAUCAUCCUUCUAGUCAAGAGCAGCAUCACCGCAGUUACUUAAGCUAAAAGAUUAAUUAAUGAGUUUCAAGUCAAAGGGAAUGUGCUUCCUUGGACUUCCAGCAUCAGCUUU